ACCCAUAGCUUUUUUUAAGUGGUCAUAAGACCACGUUUUUUUCGGUUCUCUGUAAUCUCAUUCUCUCUCUCCCGCUGCCAGUCUCCCUUCCUCUCAGCAUUCUCUUUUUCUUUUCUUUUUUUAUUUUACAAAUUCAAGACUUAAUUUCUCUCUCUAUUCUUCGUGUUUUUAAAUGCUGUUUGCGGCAAAUUGAAGCUCACGGCGAGGCCUACAAGUUGAUAGGAGCAAUUCCUUGAUUCGUGCAUUAUAGGAAAUUCGAAAAAUCCUAAGAUUUGAGGUGGAAUUUGGGGGUUUUGCAUAUAAUUGAGGUAUUCGCCAGUUCCAGCAUAGAGUUUGAUCGUGUUGAUGCAAAUACAGACACUCACUCUACCGGUUACAUAGGAUUUCCUUCCUAUUAUGGUUUUGGAUUUUAAUUCUGUAAAUUUAUCUAAAGAUUUGGAUUUAGGGGUCCACUAGGUGGAUUCCCGAGUUGUACGGAUUUAAAUUAUAUUAAAUUAUUAUUUAAGGUUUGAGGAUUUUCAUAUUAGUAUU